UACGUAGGUGGCAAGCGUUGUCCGGAUUUACUGGGCGUAAAGAGCGCGCAGGCGGUCGUUCAAGUCGCGUGUGAAAGCCCCCGGCUCAACUGGGGAGGGUCACGCGAUACUGAUCGACUCGAAGGCAGGAGAGGGAAGUGGAAUUCCCGGUGUAGCGGUGAAAUGCGUAGAUAUCGAGAGGAACACCUGCGGCGAAGGCGGGUUGCUGGGCUGACACUGACGCUGAUGCGCGAAAGCCAGGGGAGCGAACAGG
rnacentral:rRNA from 1 species